GCAGGCUGAACAUCCAGGUCUGGGGCAUGAACCUGGCAUACAAUGUAGAUUUCUGUGUUUGUUAGGCAACAGCUACAUUGUCUGCUGGGUUUCAGGCUACCUGGAAUCAUUUCUUCAUUGGCC
rnacentral:pre_miRNA from 7 species